CACGCCGUAAACGUUGAGAACUAAGUGUUGGGGAGACCCAGUGCUGAAGCUAACGCAUUAAGUUCUCCGCCUGAGGAGUACGCACGCAAGUGUAAAACUUAAAGGAAUUGACGGGGGCCCGCACAAGCGGUGGAGCAUGUGGUUUAAUUCGAAGCAACGCGAAGAACCUUACCAGGUCUUGACAUCACCUAGCAAGCCAUGGAAACAUGGCCCUCCUUCGGGACUGGGUGACAGGUGG
rnacentral:rRNA from 1 species